rnacentral:rRNA from 1 species
CCAAUCGAACUCGGAGAUAGCUGGUUCUCCUCGAAAUAGCUUUAGGGCUAGCCUCAGAGAGAGAUACGCGGGGGUAGAGCACUGAAUGUUCUAGGGGCCUUCACCGGUUACCGAAAACUAUCAAACUCCGAAUACCGCAGUAUUAGCUCUGGGAGUCAGACUACGAGAGAUAAGUUCCGUGGUCAAAAGGGAAACAGCCCAGACCUACAGCUAAGGUCCCAAAAUGUAAGUUAAGUGGAAAAGGAUGUGGAGCUGCAUAGACAACUAGGAUGUUGGCUUAGAAGCAGCCACUCAUUUAAAGAGUGCGUAAUAGCUCACUAGUCGAGUGACUCUGCGCCGAAGAUAAACGGGGCUAAAACUUACUACCGAAGCUUAGGAUACAGUAAUGUAUGGUAGAGGAGCAUUGUAUACGGGCAGAAGCCUAACUGGAAGGGAAGGUGGACUGUAUACAAGAGAGAAUGUUGGCAUGAGUAGCGUAAGGCAGGUGAGAAUCCUGCCCGCCGAAAAUCUAAGGUUUCCUGAGGAAGGUUCGUCCACUCAGGGUUAGUCGGGUCCUAAGCCGAGGGCGAGCGCCGUAGGCGAUGGACAACAGGUUGAUAUUCCUGUACCACCGAAAGUCGUUUGAGCGAAGUGGGGACACAGAAGGAUAAGUUGAGCACGCCGCUGGUAGAGCGUGUCUAAGCGUCAAGGGAGAUGAUAAAGGCAAAUCCGUAUCAUCAAUUCUGAGGCGUUAUGGGGAGGCCGCAAGGCUGGAAGCAACUGAUUUCACACUGUCAAGAAAAGCCGCUAGCGAGACCGUAGGUGCCCGUACCGCAAACCGACACAGGUAGAUGAGGAGAGAAUCCUAAGGUGAGCGAGAGAACUAUUGUUAAGGAACUCGGCAAAAUAACCCCGUAACUUCGGGAGAAGGGGUGCCUACGAAAGUAGGCCGCAGUGAAAAGUCCCAGGCGACUGUUUACCAAAAACACAGGUCUCUGCUAAAGCGAAAGCUGAAGUAUAGGGGCUGACGCCUGCCCGGUGCUGGAAGGUUAAGGGGAAGUGUUAGAGUAAUCGAAGCACAGAACUUAAGCCCCAGUAAACGGCGGCCGUAACUAUAACGGUCCUAAGGUAGCGAAAUUCCUUGUCGGGUAAGUUCCGACCCGCACGAAAGGCGUAACGAUCUGGGCACUGUCUCAACGAGAGACUCGGUGAAAUUGAAUUGCCUGUGAAGAUGCAGGCUACCCGCGACAGGACGGAAAGACCCCAUGGAGCUUUACUGUAGCUUGAUAUUGAGUGCUUGUACUGCUUGUACAGGAUAGGUAGGAGCCAUAGAAGCCAGGACGCUAGUUUUGGCAGAGGCGUUGGUGGGAUACUACCCUUGCAUUAUGAUCACUCUAACCCGCACCACUGAUCGUGGUGGGAGACAGUGUCAGGUGGGCAGUUUGACUGGGGCGGUCGCCUCCCAAAAGAUAACGGAGGCGCCCAAAGGUUCGCUCAGAAUGGUUGGAAAUCAUUCGCAGAGUGUAAAGGCACAAGCGAGCUUGACUGCGAGACAGACAGGUCGAGCAGGGACGAAAGUCGGGCUUAGUGAUCCGGUGGUUCCGCAUGGAAGGGCCAUCGCUCAACGGAUAAAAGCUACCCUGGGGAUAACAGGCUUAUCUCCCCCAAGAGUUCACAUCGACGGGGAGGUU